CUCUCUGACUUUUGUCACACAAACAAACAAAGAAAAAUGCCAGAAGAAGUUCCUGCUCAGUGCAAGGUUACCAAAGAUGAGCUGGACAAAUGUGUUCAGGGAAAAGGAGCAGAAGGUUGUAAAGAGCUGCUGGAAGCCUUUGAGGCGUGUGUGAAGGGAGCCACGGCGGCCUCGUGAGGGGGACAUCAUUUUACAUGUCCUUCCUUUCUGGGUCCUCCAGUGUCCUUGCAUUCCCUCACAUUGUACUGGACUAAACCAUUAUAAGGACAGUGAAAGGGGUGCAAGUCCUGGAAAGCAAUGGAACUGUUUAUUUUGAUCCUGAGAAGUCUUUCUCGGUGUCCCUCAUGUCGUCCAUGUUAUUUGUAACUGUGAAAGAAAGAAGUACCCAGUUUUUAUUUUGUUCAAAUUUACACUGUGAAAAAGCAUAAUGCAUUUCAUCUGAUUUUGAAUAAAUUACUAUAAUUGUU